GCCUGGCUGGCUCAGUCAGUAGAGCACAAGACUCUUGAGCUCCAGGUUGUGAGUUUGAAUCCCAUGAUAGGUG
rnacentral:tRNA from 1 species